rnacentral:rRNA from 1 species
UACAGAGGUCUCAAGCGUUGUUCGGAUUCAUUGGGCGUAAAGGGUGCGUAGGUGGCGCCGUAAGUCAGGUGUGAAAUUUCGGAGCUUAACUCCGAAACUGCAUUUGAUACUGCGGUGCUUGAGGACUGGAGAGGAGACUGGAAUUUACGGUGUAGCAGUGAAAUGCGUAGAGAUCGUAAGGAAGACCAGUGGCGAAGGCGGGUCUCGUGGACAGUUCCUGACACUGAGGCACGAAGGCCAGGGGGAGCAAAACGGGG